CAAACGUUGCGCCAAUUUAGGACCAAUGUGCCCACACAACUACGCAAAACUGGGUAUGCCACGAAUAUCGGUCGUGCAACAGAGCUCUCUGGGGGAGGUAAGGGGCGAUGUAAAUGGAUAAUUCCAAUUAGGCGCAGAUGCAUCACCCUUGGAAAUUCCCUCACCGUUCGCACUCUAAAGUGAAACUCGGCGUAAGUGCCUAUGGAGUACGGUCAGGAGCCUCCAUCAUAUCUCUGCCAUGGGCUCGAACGAGGAUGGGCAAAAAUGAAACGGACUCACUCGGAGGAUGUGGGCGUGGUCUCGCCUGUGGCCGCUUCUUCGCUGUUGGCGUCCGGUCCGUGAUGGCUCGUCCGUCCGUCU